AUUUAACAAAUAGAGUCACUGCACCCAAACGUUUCAUCAGAGAAAAGGCGAGUGCGAGAGAAGAAAAGGCGAGUAGCGUAUCAAGAGAGCGAGGCUUCAAGUUAGAAAGAAGUAAAAGGAGAAGGUAUUCCCUAUAAUGACAACCAAAUCUGCUGCGGAAGGACAUAUCCGUUUACCAAAGGGUGAAUACACCUAAAUUGAAACGGAAGUAUAAUGGAAUUGAAGCCGAUCCUAAACUGCGCGCGUAUUGUCUCAGUAUUUCGAGAAACAGACCAUGCAUCUGAAUAUAAAGAGCAACUGUUCUGGAGAGAGCCACUUGGACGGAGAGUUAUUCUGAUCAAUGCUAAAGUGGAGGGGAGCUGGUCAAACGAGGAGAAGAAGGGUCUGAAUGAUGAGGCUGAGGUAACAUCACAUACAUCAGAGCUAAUUCUAGAGCAGCCGCAGGAGUAGCUGAUGCAGGCAGUCAAAGAAGCUCCCUUGAUGUGUUUGUGUGCCUUUAUGGAGAUGUUUGAAGUGUUCUUAGAAUUGUAUAAGAGAGAAGACUGUACAGGGGAUACUUCUUACAAUAGGCAAGAAGAAAAAGAAAAGAUCAAAGAUUACAGGAUUACAUAUUGUAGAAAGAUAAGGUCCCAAUUAAACAUGAUACUACUGAAGACUCCACUUAUGCUGGGGUUUUAAGAGUGCAGUCCAAUAGAAAAUGAGAGUCCUAGCAUUCUGACAUAAUAGAUCUUAAUUCCUAGGUUUUCUCCAACUUGUUACAUUAGAUUGAGCUAGCAAGAGAAUGCUGAAACCUCUUGCUGAUAUAUUUGUUUGUCUCAUUUGAGUGACAAGAACUAAUCAACCUAAUGGAUUUAUUUAGUUUUCGUUGCA